GAUCUGAUUGUAAAAAGGUGAAGAAUUCCAUCUUUAGCCUUACGAUACGAAUUUUCUCUCUUGAGCACAUGAAUUAUAAAGAGCUCAUCUGGCACUUGUUUCUACUAGUUUCCUUCUUAGCUCUCAUUUGUGAAACUGGCCUCCUUAGUUCAAGGAAGAAGCAUGAUCAUGGUACCUUACACCGUGCCUUGUAUAAUCCUGAAAUAUUUAUUGGUUGGUUUCCAAAUUAACCGUUUACUACUAGGCAGGUGCUCUAGCAAUGCAGUGUGCGUGCACAGUUCUUCAGGCAAAGCUACUCUGUGGAUGAGUGAAAUUCUUAAUUUGAGCCUUCAUUAGAACUACUCUAACCAAAUGAGCUAGAAACCAUCCCCAAUUUAAUAUUAUUAAGUGUACAGAAACCAGUGGUAGCUUUAAAUGCCAUUUCAAAGUAAAGUGUGGCAUUGCCACUUCUUUAAUAGAAGUGACAUCUGGCUUCUCUUUUCCAGAAGGCUGUCCUAAAGUCCUGAGAGUAAAACCAGGUUUGGGAUCUGAUUAUGAGACUUGUCCACUCACGAUUUGCUACCACAUAAGCAGUAAUUCCUCAGAUUCUUACAGGAAAGCUAAAAAGGACCAUAAAGUUAACUGCUUCCUUGACAGCAAGCUAAGAAAAAACUUGACAUGUUCAGGAAGGCCACUGGACGGAAAUGAAGCAAAUCAGAAAACAAUACCUUGCCUCCUUUGAACUCACGAUGCUCUCUGUGGCUCCAAUACUGCACAAGGUUUUUGUUGCUGUGGCUUGAAAGAAGAGUCAGAGGGUCUAGAAAACAUAAGCAAAGACUGAACUCUUACUUAAACGCCAGCUAUUGUUCUUUGUUCUGAGUGCGUUACAGGCACCAACUCCUACAAAACUUUAUGACCUAGGAGCUAUUAUGAGGCCCAUUUAACACAAGAGGACACUGAGGAGGGUAAGUAACUUGCCAAAGGUCACAGGGCUAGGAGGUGGGACACCCCAGGACCUCUGUGCCUCAUCAUUACUCUAUACUGUUCUCCAAAAACUGGGACUAGCAUGAUUUUUUUAAAUGGCAGGACUCCUGUAAGAGGAUACCCCCCCAAAUUUAGUACUUUUUAGUUUUAGAAAAUGUGAUAUGAGAAGAUUUUCAAAAGGAAAGUGUGAGUUUAUUUCUGUCAAAUCUUGGGAUUAGAUAUAAAAUCAUUUGAAACUUGACAACUGUUUGCAUGACAUGCUGUGACUUUAGAAAAUUCUCUAAUUAAUUGGUGAUCUGAAAGAAGUCCACAGUUUUACAGGGAAGGGCUGGUGUAGUGGAUGCUGACGGUGCCCUUCCCAGAUCCUCAUUACUGGCACCCCGUCUCUAGCAGCUGUGAGUGUUAAUUGGAAAUAAUUCCCAGCUGUUCCUUCUUUCUUUGUCCCCCUGCCAAUCAUGAGUCCCCUCACUCCUGGACACUUUGCUCCUUCUUUCUUGGAGACAGACCACGGGCCUGAGCACUUGGAAGGCCAGCUCCUGUUGAGACACAGGCUGCCAUGAGUCUUGAGCACUCUGGCACAUCCUUGCUGGGUACGUCAAGAGCACGACUGUAAAAGCCAUGACUGCUUUUUAGAUGGGCCAUUUCUCAGGGUUGUUUGCAGAGAGUAACCUUGAGAGCUAAGGCGGUAUCUCCCCAUAGACAAAAAACAGGCUUACUUUUAUAAAAAGUACUGAAUCCCUCCUCUCUCCUCCCUCCUCCAAUGCUUAGUACUCCUCUCUUACAAGGCAGCGUACUGAAUUACAGGCAUCCAUCAUGGGUCCUUUGUAUCACCUCUGUGGGAUUAGGGGUCAUGGGGAACCCACCUCAGCAUCGUGCUGACACUCUGGCUCUUGCUUUUGCCAGGAGUGAUAAAGUCAUUUAUCUCUGACCCGGGAGUCUUGUGUGUUCUGCCAACAUCCAUGAAACAGGCUAGCUUGUUAGUUGUAAGUAGGGUAUAAACCUCAGGCCCUGCACAGUUCUUGGUACCCCUUUGCCUCAAGGUGAGAUGAACUCAGAAGUGUGAUAUGUUCUGAGAUCAGAAUGAAACUAGUUGCCAUCCUAGCCCACAUUCCUACUUAGCAUUUCCUCCUCGCCAGAUUGUAGUGCUUUCACUUCCUCCUCCUGAGAGCACCCCUCAGCCCAUCACUUGAAUAAAAAUCCCCAGCUUAGACUAUGCUUCUAGGGAACCUGACCUCAUACGACAGAGGAGUAUGGAGGAAGAGGUAUUUUAUUCCUUUCUAAAAUUGUCAUAAUAAAGGAUAACUUCCCUUCCAAUGAAACGUUAGACACACUAUACUGUGCCUAGUAUGUAUGGUGUAGUAUGUGAAUGUUUGGAUAAAAUAAUAUAUCAUUGGUAAGAGGACUAAAAUUAGCCUAAUGAUGAAUAACUAAUUAUUCUGGAUGCUGGGUGACAGGAAGGAAAGAAAGAUUUGAGAGCAGGAUAGGUCUAGAGAGACUGGAGAGGUAAGUUCCAGCUACUUCUGUAAUAGCAGAGUCAUGCCAAAUAGAACUGCAGGACAGAGCUGUCUCCUGAGGACUAGAUGAAGUGAAAUGACUAUUUCUUUAAGAUCCAGGCAGGUUGGGGCUCCUUUGUGGUUAUGCCUUAGCAGGGAUUUGAAUCAGAAUGGAAAUAAAAAGAAAUGAUAAGCUUGAAAAAUCAGGGAAAAGAGACAAGAACAGUCUUAGAACACACUAGAUUGCAGUAACUAAAAAGAGGUACUACAAGUGAGAAAUCAUUAAGUAAGGCUUAAUUAUAAUGCCAAAAGACUUCUAUUUAAUUUUUUAAAAAAUUAAAAAAGAAAAACUGAAAAGCUGGAUAUAAAAGAACUGGUGGAUAGAUGUGUAAAGAAUGAAAAACAGUACAAUUAACAUCCAUUGGCUGCCAUUUAAUGUUUAAAAGGUACAUUACCUGUAUGUUCCUCCUCUUUAGACUCCUCCUUUUUCCCCGCUUCCCCCCACCCUACUCAAACACCCCCCCCCCAUUCUCCCCAUAAGCUCCUUUUCCGUGUUUCUUGGCCAUUCGAAUUUCUCUUCUGUUAAGUAUCUGCCUUUGUGUUGUUUGUCUUAAUGAUUUGUAGUUCUUCAUACCUCAGGCGUGUCUCUUAUAAAUAGGAUACAUUUAGAUUUGUUGAUUCUUUUUUAUACCCAGGCUGAUACUCUUUGAUUAUUACUGGUACGUUUAGUUCUUUUACAAUUAUUUUAAUCACUAUUGAGUUGGAAUUAUUUUGUACUUUUCAGUUCAUCUGCCUUAUUCAUGCUUCAUUUUCUCUUUUGUUGCCUUCUGUUGGAUUUAUUGAAUUGACUAGGUAUUUAUUUUGCUUUGGAAAUGUUGAACUUCCUGAGCCUUGGGUUGGGGUCUUUCAAUACUUCUAAAAAAUUCUCAGAUAUAAUGCAUUUGUGUUAGUUUCAGUUUCCUAGAGCUGCCAUAACAAAUUACCACAAACUUUGUGGCUUAAAACAGCAAACAUUAAUUCUUUCAUAGUUCUGAAGGCUGGAAGUCCAAAAUCAAUGUGCUGUCAGGGCCAUGGUCUCUCUGGUUCUAGGGAAGAAACCAUCCCAGAUUUCCUUUCUAGCUGCUGGUGGUUGCUGGCAAUCUAACUGCUCCAACAAGGUCCAAACAGUCCAUUUGGAUUUUGGCAAAAUCACAUUCCAUCCUUGGAGAAUCUUGGGUUCUGUUGCACCAGGUAGCCCUUAAGAAAGUACCUUUUGCUUCUGUGUUGAUCAUACACUCAACCCAGUAUACACAUCUGGGUUGGCUUGAUACUUCAUUCAUGUAAAAAUUUGUAUCUUUGCAACUCCUAAAUAGCAACUGUCAUCAAAAUAUCCCUUCCUCUUUAAAUUUUUUUUUUAGGUAAAGAUGUAAACCUUUGGGAAUGUGAUAAAAUUGUCUAAAAAUGGCUUGUAAAUUAUUUAUGGAAUAGCAAAAGGUAAUUUAAAUGUAAAACUGCUGUGAAAAUGAAUUUAAGUAUAUUAAAUAGUGUCUUUUAUGGGUUA